rnacentral:rRNA from 1 species
CCGCUGAAUUUAAGCAUAUUAAUAAGCGGAGGAAAAGAAACCAACCGGGAUUCCCUUAGUAAGGGCGACUGAAAGGGGAGGAGCCCAGCGCAUAACCUCGCGGUCCCUGGUUGGCCGUCGAGGGGUGUUGCGUUUCGGUGCGUUCGCUCCGCUCGUACCGCUCACCGCCUAAGUCAUUGCUUGAAAGCAGCCCCGAGGAGGGUGAAAGGCCCGUGUGGCGGCGCCUGUAAAAAGGGUGUAGGCGGUGCGGGCGGGAGGACGUUCACCGUAGAGUCGGGUUGCUUAGUACUGCAGCCCUAAGCAGGUGGUAAACUCCAUCUAAGGCUAAAUAUAACCACGAGUCCGAUAGCUGACAAGUACCGUGAGGGAAAGCUGAAAAGAACUUUGAAGAGAGAGUUC